AUUUGAAUUAAUAACAGACACUAGGGGGUGCUAAAAUCAAGCAGGACAGUCUAGUAUCCCUUUAAUGAGCAGAAACGUGACUCGUUGAGUCAGUGCAGAUUUUAAAAGAGAAAAAAAGUCAAAAUGAGGAGUGAAAUUAUGACAAAAUUUGUUCAUAAUGUCUUUCUAGCCAUGUAAAAAAGUAUUCCAUCCUUGGAAGUAAAGAAUCAAGAUGCACCACCUUUAUUUAAGCUAAUAUUUCCAGAUCAGUUUAAACUGGCUGUAGUUCGACAUUACUCAGAUUAGCUUUGGAUCAACUUCUUAAAAAAAAAAGAUACAAAAACCCAGUGACAUGGUUUUGGGGACGAGUUUAACACACGACAUGCAGAAUCACCACUCGCACACCAAACAGAUACAAUAAAGUUUCUUUAUUAAAAUAAUCAGGAACAGAGGACGCCCAUGUGGAUUGUAACAGAACCGCAGCGUCUGAGGAGGGGAUAGCAGAGGAGCAGGUGAGUGCAGGGAGGUAAGUCAAAACUAGUUAGGUGCAGAGUUAAGACUUACGGGGAGCUGGGAGCUGAGGAGUAGGGAGGGUAGGUGGAGUGCUGGGAUGAAUCCAGGAAGGGGGGUGUCCAGGAGAGGGAGCGUGAGGAGAGCGGGUCGGCAGGGAGGAGAGGAGAACGGCGAAUGCUGCAUCCAGAAGACUUCUGAAGCACAGGUGAGUUAUCCAGCGGGACUGUUUGAUUAGCUUAUUAAAAUAGAGUUCUUCUGAUUUACUAAAAAUCAAGAGUUCUUUGUCUUCAUUCUUCUCUUGAGCUGGAAGGGAAACAGUUUUAGAAGCAAAUGCAUGACCUUGAGCAAUAUCUCAUGCAGAUUAGUUCUGUGUCAGAGACAUUUGAGGAGAGAGGGUAAAUAACCUUUGGUGGAAUAGCUCCUGCAUCAUGUUACACAUCUAAAUAAACUGUUAUAAACUUUUUUAGAAAAUCUCCUAAGACAGAGUUCACAAGGGGCUGGAACACGGCUGGUGCAUUAGUUAAACCAAAAGGCAUCACCAAGUACUCGAAAUGUCCAGUGGGAGUCUACAACGCGGUCUUCCAUUCGUCUCCCUGAAGAAUCCGCACCAAAUGGUUCUGAGUGUUCCUUCCUUCUUCGGAACGAAGAAACCCGCUCCCAGAGGUGAUGAGGAGGGUCUGAUGAGGCCGGCGGCCAGAGACUCCUGUAUGCAGCUCUCCACGCUCUUCUCGUGCUGAAGACCAGGCUGAGGUCAUGGUAGAUCGGUGGUACAGAGGACAGGUCUAUCCUUUCUGCUGGAGCGGCGGGGCUGCGGAGAAUGGACACCCCUCCUGACUCCAUGAUCUCAUGUUUGGACACGCCGCGGCACACCUUUCCUUCCAGCUGAAAGUCGUCAUAAAAACAAUCUGUAUGUGACUAUGAGACCAAGGAAGAAGGUAAAUCCUCCAAAAUCACAGCUAAUAAAGGCUUAUAGCAAACAGGAAUGGUGCAGUGAAUGAAAGGACCUCCUUCUCACUGGUGAAUUUGCCUAAUCAGGCGCAACGGCACUCUCUUGUGGCCUAAAAGGUACAUUUCUGCUCUGGAAGGAAGAGAAGAGAUUCCUGGGUAAGUUUUAAAGUUGUGCUAUAGUUUAGUACAAAGAGACUCAAAUGUUCUGCAGACAAACACUCAGCUGGUUUCAGACUUCUGGUGACAAAACCUGACAGAAAAAAUUAAACCGGAAGUUUAACUCUAUUGGACUGGAGACAAACUCUCUCUGAUGGUUUGUACAGUUUAUUGUAUAAUAAUGUAUUAUAAUAAUAUUGGUGUCUUCAUGAUCAGAUUGUUUAGAAUAAUUUGAUCAGUUAGAUUAUUUUAUUUUAAGAAAUUGGUCAAUUUGAUCUGAUGGAUGACGUUGAAGAAAGUUUCAUCUUCUGCAGCACUACUAGCUGCUCUGAAGAAACUGUGACUUUAACUUGUUUUAUGCAUGUCAGGUCAUGUGUAAUGGCAUGUGACUGCAUGAACAGGUUGAAAAUGUUACAAAGUGCAUUUUCCACUUGUUAACUUAAUAUAAGUUGGAUUUUCUAUAAAUCUUCGUCUGUUAUGCUUCAAAAAAUUGAGUCUGGGUCAGAAUUCCUCAACAAAAAGCAAGUUUAUUAAAGGUGAAGUUUAUUGAAAAAACAGUUUUUAAUGAUUAUUUCUGAUUAUAAUCAGUCACUCUUAGGGUGACCAGAUCCCAUUUUGCCAAAUGUGGGAUGGAGACAACUCAACGUGGGACAACGUGAAGUUCCAAUGUAAUGAGAGAAAAACAAACAAACAUAUUCUGCCUUUUAGCCCACUGUUACAUAUACAUUAAGUUAUUAUUCUUAUUAUCAUCACAUAUUUCUUGUAUAUAUUUUAUUUGAAUUCACCAUGAAGGAGCAUACAGCAAAAGCUUUACUAGUUCACAGUUCCUCUCAAGUUACGACAACAUGACUCUGUAGUGGCUCUGAUCAUUUUAAUAAUAUAGAUAGGCCCACAAUAAUAAAAACAUGUAGGUUUAAGCAGCUUUUCAGAGUUUUCAUUGAAUGUUUUCCACAACAGAAUGACUGUAAAGUACCAGUAAUAUUUUUAGAUCUAUGUUUGUUUUUAAUUAAUUUUCCACUAAAAUCAGCAUCUCAUUGAAAAAAUAUCCAUACUUUUUAGCUAUUUUUUUCUUAAUUCGGAAACAAACGUUUUUUUUACAUGA